rnacentral:lncRNA from 1 species
GGUUCCAAGCCCGGGAAAGGAGGAGGGAAAAAUGGCAGCUCAGUGUAAACGGGCAAUGCAUUGAAUGACUGUACAGGUGAAGUCCUCAUUUUAUUAGGCUACGGUGGUCUUGCCAGUUGUCAGUACAUUUCUAUAUAAAAUGUGAAGUCCUCAUUCAUUUCUGGUUUGUUUUGCAGUGCGCAUCUCUGGUGUAACAGCCUAAUUACAUAAAUUCGGUUGACUAUGAGUUUGAAGACAUCUUUCAGUUUUCAUGUGUUGUUAUACUGAGAUACAUACUUUAACUCAAAUAUUGUUCCAGAUAUUAUAUUUUUAAUGUUUUAGGGUUGUUUUGUCAUCCAUGUUGUUGUUCUCCUCUUUUGAAUUGGGAUGUUGCAUAACCUGCAUCAGCGAUUGCACUUUGUGAUUUCGGUAGUUUUGAAGAACAAGCAAACAAAUACUAUGUUUACUGUGAAAACUAAUCUAAUUCUGCAUGGUAGUUUUGAUUUGCUUUGAAGACAGUCAGCAGUUUGAUUGCUUUGGUACAUAUCAAUUGCUUAGAUGUCUGUGUUAUGGUAUCAGUUGACUGAUGGAUAUUCAUAAAAUUUCUGUUUAUUUCAGUGCAGAUCGAUCAGUGGUGAAGAACUUUCUAUAUUGAUACUUUCAGGCAAUCAUAUUGCAAUCACAUUUGUUGACCAGUACAAGUUAAGGUAUACUAACGUCUUUCAGCUUUAUUCACAUCAGGAGUAUGUAUUCUCUCCAAGACUCACCCCUGUAUUCUGCAUGU